GGAAACAUGGUAUAAUGUUCCCUGCGUGUGUGGGGACCGGAUGGGGGUCGUAGUGUCCGGGGGUGAUGACCGGUUGAGGGUCGUAGUGCCUCUGUGUCACAUCCUGUGGUAAUAGUGGUACGGCCGGGAGGAAGGAAGCGGCGGCGGCUGCUCAGGGCUCAGUGUACACGUGUCGGGCGGCGGUGAGGUGCGGUAAUGUGCGGGCUCCGGGGUCAUUGUGUCCCCUGUCUGUAUUAUUGUUAUAGAGGAGGAUGAUGUAUCCACCAUGAUACUGUGGGAUGGAUAAACCCAUAAAUGGCGCACAUCGAGGCCACAUGACCGCGCUCCUUAUAGAAGGAACCGGAGUCUGUUGUGACGGAGCUGCAUAUAAGAUGUAUCAACCAUGAUACUGUGGGAUGGAUAAACCCAUAAAUGGCGCACAUCGAGGCCACAUGACUGCACUCCUUAUAGAAGAUGUAUCAACCAUGAUACUGUGGGAUGGAUAAACCCAUAAAUGGCGCACAUCGAGGCCACAUGACUGCACUCCUUAUAGAAGGAGCGGAUGAGGCUGCGGAUGAUGAGAUCUCCUCCGGGCGGCUGCGUCCUGAUCCUCUUAAUAAAGAACUUGUCUGUAAUGUAAAAGAAAAGGCGAAUAAAUGUGAACAGUCUGCGGCCCCAUGUCUUGUGUGUCGGAUUCAUUGCGCCUCUCAAUGAUCACCUAAAAUAAUAGUUAUGUGCGCAAUUAAAUUCUGUGUAGCCAAAUGUAUCCUAAUCAGGGGGCCUGUUGCAAAACUACAACUCCCAGCAUGCCCAGACAGCCAGUGGUGGUACAUGUUGAGACUCAUUGGACUAUCUGCAGCAAGAUUGCAGAGGUACUGAUGACUCAAGAUGGCGGCUGGCACUCCACCUGCUCCUGCCAGAGGGCGAACCAUAGAAGUAGACAAUAUUACUGAUCAG